UUAAGAGAACGCUCAAGGGUUGACUGAUAGACGAUGUCGACGAUGGUUUUACCUUAAAUCCAUGUUCUGAAGAUGCCCCAAAUAAUGAUGUGAACUCUGACUCUACGUAGAAAUGAUCGAGACGAAUCGAACGUACUGCAAAUGCAAGAUUUGUGGCCGAAAGCUGUCGAGGAAACAAAGACUCGAAACCCUGACUUGAGUCGUGUUCACGGCAAAGAACAGAUGGAUACCACCUUAGGAAGUAUAAGAGCUACCCAGAUGAUCACAGUGUACCAGUGCCCAAAUCGAUGAAGUUGGAUCGUAACAAGCGUUCAGCGACACGUUCCAACACUGCCAUCUCGAUUCCUCAGUCUUUUGCUUCCACUGAGCUAGCGGCGGUGCCAACAGAGUCAAGUGCGUCUCAUAACGAAGAAACAAUUGUACAAGAGAAGGAAGCGAUUAUAGUACGUUAGAAUUCUUGCGUACAAAUGAAUGCAUGUGCACAUUCCGAAGCGUUGAUCCAUGCUUAUGAUUAUUUUACGAUUUUGGCACAUCUCCGGACACGAGACAUAUUUUGCAUCACAAUAAAAACUUUUAUGACUGUGGAAUCCAAGGGGCCUUUGAGUUUAGAAAGCAAAUCUGUGAUAUGAGUACAUUGCAUUUAAACUGAAAAUUUGCACUUAAUGUAACUGCUUUAUGAAAAAUGCAUAUUCAUGUUAAGAUUUAAUAAAACUUAGUUCAAAUAAUAAAUUUCAUGAUAAACAUGUACAGGUAUAUACAUCUCUUGGUACACUUUGUUUAGCGUAUCUUUUAUUGAACCAAUAUUAAAGUUUUAAGCCUCUAAAAUUA